GACGCAGCUGUAGUUGUAUUUGUUACCGCUGUAUAGAUUACAUCCAUAUAUAUAUAUAUAUAUAUAUAUAUAUAUAUAUAUAUAUAUAUAUAAGCACAGGAUAUUAACACUCGGGUUGUACAAAACAUUGGACUUUUCCCAACUAUUGCCAUCCGGUGUUUAAAUAAAUUAUUAGACCAGGCAGUUAAUACAAUACAUGUAUAGGGAUUUCAACAUGAUUUUAAUGGAUCCCAAAUUUACGAACAUGGAUAUAUACACUGAUCAUGAAGAAGAUUUCUAAGUAUCCGCUGGAACUCUGAAAGAUAAGUUUUGGUUUGAAAGUUAGUUAGAACAGUUUUAUGCGAACUUUCUAAAAUUGAUAAUUAUUAAUGAAGAAUGAUCUUAUUUCUUUAUUUUACAAAAUGUAUGUACCUUUUUUAUUUUGUGAAAUGUGUGAAAUAGAGCGUUCAAAACGCUCUGCUAAUUAACAAAUCAGUAACUGGUGGUUAAUUUACACUUUAUAACUUUAUAAACGGUCCCUGUCCUAUUUGUACUGCGCAUGACAGAAAGAGCUUUAGGAAAGCAUGACUUUAUUUAUUUAUCUUUAUCUCAAUAUUAUUCUAAAAGAUUUUAAAUUGUUUAAUUGAAAUUAAAUCAAAUUAAAAAAGAAAUUGUACACUUUCUUCCCUUUAUGUUUUGUGAAUUACAGUUACGCAUGAUGAUAAGCACAUCCAUGUACAUAUUCAUCCGCGAUCGAAAUAAAGUACUCUUGAAAUAAAUUAUUUUAACUCGUGAUUCGUUUUUUACUACAUAAAUUUUAUCAAGCAUUCAAAACUAAUAUAAAGUGAGACAGAGCUUAUAAUUUGACAUGCCUCGAUUGGACUCACUUUCUGUUGUGUACCUCUCCUUCAAUCUCACCUAAAAAGAAAGCCGCCAUCUUUAACAUUAUGGAAAAGAAACAUUUACAAAACGUCAGUCUUCAGACAUUACGAGAAGAAAAUGAUAGGCUUAGAAAUAUGGCGAUGUGUCUUCUGUGCAGAGAACACACCAGGGCUUGCCUUUUCCUACCCUGUCGCCAUCUAUUAUAUUGCUGGCAUUGUGGUGCAAGUUUUAAAAAGUGUAGCCAUUGUCAAGCAGAAAUACGGGGUCGUCUUCAUGUGCAAAUGACCAGGCGUUUACCACUUUGAGUCUGUAUGUGGAAGGGGAUGACGAAAGACGUGUAUGGUCAUGAAGCUAUCUGUAAAAUGGACUUUCAUGUGGACUGAAUGUCAAAUAAAUGAAAUCUAUUCUAUAGAUAUUCCUCUAAAGGGGCACGUCAGCAACAAACCCGAUCGGAUGAUUUGUACAGUGGACAGCAAUUGGUUUUUCUUUCCCAAAAAUAACUUGUUUUUCUUUGCUUUUAUAAGAUACAUGUAAUCAAAUAAAUGACUGUAAGAAAUUUAAA